GACGAACGCUGGCGGCGUGCUUAACACAUGCAAGUCGAACGGAAAGGCCCUGCUUUUGUGGGGUGCUCGAGUGGCGAACGGGUGAGUAACACGUGAGUAACCUGCCCUUGACUUUGGGAUAACUUCAGGAAACUGGGGCUAAUACCGGAUAGGAGCUCCUGCUGCAUGGUGGGGGUUGGAAAGUUUCGGCGGUUGGGGAUGGACUCGCGGCUUAUCAGCUUGUUGGUGGGGUAGUGGCUUACCAAGGCUUUGACGGGUAGCCGGCCUGAGAGGGUGACCGGCCACAUUGGGACUGGGAUACGGGCCAGACUCCUACGGGAGGCAGCAGUGGGGAAUAUUGCACAAUGGGCGGAAGCCUGAUGCAGCAACGCCGCGUGCGGGAUGACGGCCUUCGGGUUGUAAACCGCUUUCGCCUGUGACGAAGCGUGAGUGACGGUAAUGGGUAAAGAAGCACCGGCUAACUACGUG
rnacentral:rRNA from 1 species